CGGGGAAUCAGACUCCCCCUUCAGACGGCCAUCGUCCAAGCUCUGC
rfam:Bradyrhizobium erythrophlei strain GAS478 genome assembly, contig: Ga0132009_12